CCUUUCUGUAAUACUUAAAGAAAGCUUGUUCCUGCUUCAGCAUUGGAAGAAGAAAACAUGGAGAUCCUCAUUCGCAAUGGCUUCUGCAUGGAUAAAGCUGGAUUUGUUUAUAAUGAUGCCCUUAGAUCCAGAUAUUGCUCCACCUUGGGGCUAUCCCUGACAUCAAGGCAUCAUGGCGAGCAUGGGCCAGAAGGAUUCUGAUGAUGCAGCUUAAGAGGCCAAGUCAAGAUGGAUAUCCUGACUCUGACACGUGUAUUGAGUACUGCAUCGUCAACAACUGGGACAACAUCAAGAAGAUCUAGUACCACAUCUUCUAUGAACUGUCAUGGCCCUUGGGGAACAUCCAUUGUUUCUAAACAAGGGUUCUUUGAACCCGAGACUAACAGAGAGUAGAUGAUGCAGAUAAUAUUGGACACUUUCAACACCCAUCAUGUGCAUGGCCAUUUGGGCAGUGCUGUCUCUGUACAUCCCUGGGUGCCCACUGGUGGUGUUGUGGAUUCUGGUGACAUGCUUCAAACAUACAGUGUUCUUUUACAUACUACCUUCUUUCUGGGCUUGACUGUCAGGUACAUGACAGUCUAUUUCAUUAAGAUACUCACUGAGUGGGCCUACAGCCUCACAGCACAGUUGAACUUGAUAUUAGUGGCAGACAUUAAAGCCGUAUUAUAUUGCCCUGGAUUUUGAGCAAGAAAUGGCCACUGAUAUCUCCUUCUCCUUAUAAUGAUGAAGAAGGAGAAGAGCUAGAAACUGUCUGAUGAGCAAGGGAUCACCAUUGGAAAUGAACAAUUCAGUUGUUUGCCCAGCUCUCUUCUCUGGGCAUGGAACCCAGGGUAUUCAUGAGACUAUUUUGGAUCAAGAUCAUGAAACCAAGAUCAUUGCUACCCUUCAGAACAAGUACUCAGUCUGGAUUGCUGGCUCCAUCCCGGGUCCACUGUCCACUUUCACACAAAUGUGGGUCAGCAAAGCAGGAGUAGGGGGGUCAGGACCCUCUUUCAUCUACCGUAAAUGCUUCCAGAUGGACCGGGCAAAUGCCAGGCAUCUGCUCAUGAGCUGCUUCUGAAGUUUCAAUUUGCCCAGGCAAAUGGGCACACCUCAUGUCAGCCUGACAAAGCUGGAAUAAGCCUUUGAAAAGCAAUUUGUCCUUGAAGCUUGUACCUGAUAUCAACUUUGGCUCAUAGAACUUGGGGCUGACUUUUGACCUUGUAUAAUUAGUGUAAGCACAUACAUACUCCAUGUUGCUGCUACGGAGAUGGUUCAGAUGAAGCAUGACAAUCGGAGUUUGAUCUCAGGGCUCCGCAAGGUAAGAAAAAGUUGUCUUAUACACAUGUACAAUUUACCUUUUUAUCAUUCCCAAAGUCUACAUGGGGUUAUAAUUAGUUUUAUGUACAUAAUAGUGAAUUCAUGUGUAUAAUUUGACACAUGUAGCCGAUCUGAUCUCACCAGCCUAUUCUCUCAAUGAAUGUCUGGUAAAAGUAUCAAUCUCACUUUUCAUUUUUAAUUCAUGAAGAGUCCAUUCUGAACAUGCCCCACAACUUUCCAUGGACAUAACCCAACUUGGGUCUUGUAGGCUGAUCAGAUUAGAGUUGGUACCUAAACCUGAGAGUCUUUUGCAAAUCAAAACUUCCAACUUAACAAGGUCAAAGGGCUUGCUAAGGAAAGCACCCAGUGACCUG
rnacentral:sRNA from 1 species